rnacentral:rRNA from 1 species
UGGGGAAUUUUGCACAAUGGGGGAAACCCUGAUGCAGCGACGCCGCGUGAUUUAGAAGGCCUUCGGGUUGUAAAAAUCUUUUCUAUGGGAAGAAAAUGACAGUACCAUAGGAAUAAGGACCGGCUAAUUACGUGCCAGCAGCCGCGGUAAUACGUAAGGUCCGAGCGUUGUCCGGAAUCAUUGGGCGUAAAGGGUACAUAGGCGGGUAAGCAAGUUAGAAGUGAAAUCCUAUAGCUCAACUAUAGUAAGCUUUUAAAACUGCUCAUCUUGAGGUAUGGAAGGGAAAGUGGAAUUCCUAGUGUAGCGGUGAAAUGCGCAGAUAUUAGGAGAGAUACCGGUGGCGAAGGCGACUUUCUGGCCAUAACCUGACGCUGAGGUACGAAAGCGUGGGUAGCAAACAGG